ensembl:lncRNA
AAAAGGUGUGAGGGGUGCUUCAGAUAGAUACAGAUUUCUUCCCAGAACAUCCAGCCACCUGAGAGAUAAGUUCUGAAGCCAGAGGGAGCCACAUUUGCAUGUACUUACUUGUUCAUAGCCAUUUGAAGGUACAAAUUUCUCGACAAACUUAUCACCCUAUGUUGGUUUUGUUUUUCUCUAUCCCAUCAGGGGUCAACAAAGGAAACUGCUGUUUUCCAGAUGGAGUACACAACCUAUUCUUAAGCCAUUCUCCCACAUGGAC